rnacentral:rRNA from 1 species
UUCAAGCCCUAGCUCAACCGCCCCCUCUAAUCACUAACCCUAAAACAAAACAAACCAUUUGACACUACUAGUAAAGGAGAUUGAACAU